GUUCUGUUUAAUUAAGAUUUUCUUUUCCCCUGCUAUGUUAAUAGCUUGCUCGACCCUGCAAGAGCCUCCUCUAUGUGAUUAAAGUUCAAUUUAGAGAUUGAGAUACAAUUAUUUAAGGUAAAUUACAUAUGUUUGAAAGUUAAACCAGUUUUUUUUUCAUGCAGGCUCUGUCAGUCAUAGCCAGGGGAGGUGUGGCUAGGGCUGCAUAAACAGAAACAAAGUGAUUUAACUCCUAAAUGACAGUGAAUUGGGCAGUGACAUUGCAGGGG